AGCUGGCAUGGCAUGCUGGGCUGGGGUGUUCGCCACCCCACUUGUCAGAGGGAUUUUCUGAGGGAGGAGGGAGUGGGGAAGAUUUCAAUGGACACAAUCCUAAUGGAGGAACCGUGCGGAAGUUCCGGGAGAGCGAAGCCCCUCACGCGGCAAAGGCCAGCAGGCCAGAUGCUUUCCAGCUGAGCUGCGCAAAUUCCACAUUUAUUGAGGGCAGCCAUGUGUUCAGAUGAAAGACCUCAUUCCCCAGCCUCCCAGCAGGUAGAAGCGGCCGCCAAGGUGUUAUGCGUGACUUCAGGAAGGCUGUUUAGGGGAUGCUUUGUCCUCUGCUCCUCUGGGCUGCAAACUAGUCCAGUGUGGGCAUGAGACGACCUUGAGUGUGGACAUGAGACGACCUUGAGCGUGGAAGCCUGCCCCACCGGGGAUUCUCGUCUUGCCUUCUCUGCUUCAUGUGGGGAUUUGGCCAGAAACCAUUUAACAGAAAGCACUUUGGCACCCCACCAAAGGGGUAAUGGAUGGCUGAUCGCGUGUCUGCCUGCACUGCCUCUAUCGCCUCUUCUGGUAACAGCUUCUCAGUUUCCCUUUAGGAGUCCACUUCCGUCUCUGAGCCUGUGUCUGAGGGGCCGGCUCCCCCCAGCCUCCCUCCCUCUGGGGCAGUACGUGACCCAAGCUGGGCCGAUCCCUUUGGCCGUGGUCAUUGGCUCAGGGACAGGCCUGGGUUCCAAGGGACAGGACGAGCCUCCUUCCCAGGGCUGGGUCUGGAGAAGCACGUUCCCCGCUGGGACUGCUGGGCGAGGACAUCGUAGGCUCCGCGGGGGGCAAGGAGCAGGAAAGCAGGCGGAGGCAGAGAGCCCCGGAGACGGAGACCAUCUGAGCUCUCGAAGCGACUCCUGCCCUGGCCCUGACUUCCAGCCAGCGACUCCCCUCACCCUUGGGAGCCCAACUUUUUAACCCAGCCAACCUCUGUUAUUACUGUAAUAUAAAAAGAGGUGUUUAUUGAAAUUUUAUAUUGUUCUGUAUUAAUUAUGUAUACAGAUUAGGUACAUGCUUUAUGUAUUAAAGAUUUUUCUCAUUUGUAAAUGCUAUUAUUUAAACAAAACAAUGAUAGAACCAGUUAAAAGAGGCAACUAGUAGUAAUGAAUAGCAGGAUCACUUGAACAAUGUGUGAGAAAAAUAUGACAAUAUUUGUAUAGUGUCUCUUUCUGUCCUCUGAUACACGACUUAACUCUUCUUUAAACUCUAUCAGGUAUUGAAAUUCUGUAGGCUAUAUUAUCAUAUAUUCUUGGUAUAGUUAAAAGUAAAACUUUUUAAAAGGAGUAUUUAAAAUACAAUAGGACAAAUUAAACAGAUUGUGCCAGUUUGAAUAUAUUGUGUCCCCCAAACACC